rfam:Nippostrongylus brasiliensis genome assembly, scaffold: NBR_scaffold0000067
GUCACAGUAGCACAGUGGUUAGUGCACAGUCCCGAAUACAUUUAGACGCGGGUUCGAAUCCCGCCUGAGAUG